AAAGUCGUAACAAGGUUUCCGUAGGUGAACCUGCGGAAGGAUCAUUACUGAGUGAGGGCCCUCUGGGUCCAACCUCCCACCCGUGUUUAUUGUACCUUGUUGCUUCGGUGCGCCCGCCUCACGGCCGCCGGGGGGCUUCUGCCCCCGGGCCCGCGCCCACCGAAGACACCAUUGAACUCUGUCUGAAGAUUGCAGUCUGAGCAUAAACUAAAUAAGUUAAAACUUUCAACAACGGAUCUCUUGGUUCCG
rnacentral:misc_RNA from 1 species